rnacentral:hammerhead_ribozyme from 1 species
UAGCGAAACACCCGCGAGCGCGGGUGUCUGUCGAGCGCGGCGGCUCGGCACUGAUGAGCAGCUCAGA